rnacentral:lncRNA from 1 species
UCGUAUGAUUCAGUUCCUCUAUCGUGAGUCCUGAUAGGAUGGAGGUUAUGGAACCUCGUCAAACCCCAUCAUCCGUCAUAUAAAAGAUUCGAUUAGCUCAAGUCCAAAUCAUGAUACUAAUGAAAACUCUUUUCUAUCUAUCAUCUUGCUGUGGCUACAGACUUAAGAACUCAGCCUCUUAAAUCUCAUAGGACUUCUCCUUACUUACUAAGGUUGAUAGAUCCCUUCUAAGUGUGUACCCUACUUUUACAGUGAAUCCACUGC